rnacentral:tRNA from 1 species
GCCUUUGUGGUGUAGUGGUCAACAUGCUCGACGUGUAUUCUAGAGGUCCGUGGUUCGACUCCUGGCGAGGGCU